rnacentral:rRNA from 1 species
CGUGUAGGCGGGUCUUUAAGUCAGGGGUGAAAUGCCAAGGCUCAACCUUGGAACUGCCUUUGAUACUGGAGAUCUUGAGUCCGGGAGAGGUGAGUGGAACUGCGAGUGUAGAGGUGAAAUUCGUAGAUAUUCGCAAGAACACCAGUGGCGAAGGCGGCUCACUGGCCCGGAACUGACGCUGAGACGCGAAAGCGUGGGGAGCAAACAGGAUUAGAUACCCUGGUAGUCCACGCUGUAAACGAUGGAUGCUAGCCGUUGGGGAGCUUGCUCUUCAGUGGCGCCGCUAACGCUUUAAGCAUCCCGCCUGGGGAGUACGGCCGCAAGAUUAAA